AUGGUUGAAGGUCACAUGCCAUACAGAGCUAGUGCAUGUCUAUACUUUUCCUCUUUUGUCAGGGAGGAGCCCGACUCCUCUGCAGGAAGUGGCUUUGCUCUGCAAGUAGCACCAUACUUCAUUUUGGACCACCCGAGCCGACGUGGCCGGCUGGAGCACCUGUCCACGUCGCCGGAGUCGGUGGAGCCAGAGGAAAUAUCAGUCGGUGGCAGAGGGCUCGGCCUCAUCGAUGUUGCUGCUAUACUUCUUGUAGGACUCCUACAACACUUGUUCCUGGGUGACGAGCUCCAGAUGCUCCGCUCUAAGCUCGGCCAUAUAGGCCUCGUCGAUGUGCUCGGCCUCGAUCUGCACGAAGGACUCACAAUUCUCCUUCUCCUCCCGGCGGGAAACCACUUGAGGCUCGACGAAGUCCGGGCCACCGCGACUGUCGAGGGGGGGGGGUUACUUUUCAGCCGGUCGACGAACAUGCCGACCGCCGCCACAUCCCCCAUCGCACCCCUCCUCCCCGCUCCCAAUCUCCCCGCCGCCGCGGCCACCUCCUCCCCGUCCCUGUCCUCUCCCACCCACCGCCGACCUCACCGUCCACCUCACCCACCACCGCCGACCUCAUCCCUCCCUCCCCUCACCAUCUCUCCCUACCCUAACUCAAAUCAAUGCCCUCUCAUCCUCUCCCCCGGUUCAGAUCGACCACCGUCCACAACCCCCACCCGAUUCAGAUCGACCACACCUUACCAGAGAGUGAGAGGCGUCACCCCCAGCGACUACGGCUGGCUUGCUCACCGGCAUGUGUGUGCGUGCUUCAAAUCCUUCGAUGUGCGGCGCUCCAUGGGGCUGGUGGACCGCGACGCGCGCGUGGCUUGCCUAGGGUUGGCGGUGGCAGUGCUGCACGCCGUGUCUCCGGCCACCAUGACGGUGACAGCACGAACCUCGGAGACCGUCAUCCACCUCCCGCUGCAGGACGAGUUCGUCGUCUUCCCACGGCCCGCCCGCUCCUCGACCGCCUCCCUGGCACGGCGCGCCCCCACCUCUCCGUCUCCCCCUUGCCCUUCGCCCCCGCCAACUCGGUCCGCUUCGCCGCCCGCAGCGGUGGCUCCCGCGCCGUCUCCCUCUGCGCCUCCGUGCCGCCAGGUCCGUGGUCAAACCAGAUGUUGGAUGUUCUCCUCCACGCAUAUUUUUAAAGUGAAAUAUGUAGGAUCGUUUUAUCUUGGAAGGAUUCAGAUUGAAUCCCCUUGCCAGACUUCUUCUGUUGUGAGAACCGAUAAACUGAAGCCAGAUCGAUGCAUAGAUGCAUACCAUGUGAAAUAUGUAGCGAUGGCCAUAGGGGCUGAUCUUGAUGUACCAGUGGCGUGCCUCAUUAUGUUGAUUCAGUCAGCUGAAAAUUGUCGAUUGGAGAUUGGUGAGACGGGGAUGCAUCCAAGGUGGAGUAUAGGGUGUGGAACCCCUUCAGAUCCAAGCUGGCUGCUUGUGUGCUCGGUGGCUCCUGGAACACGUGUGUUGUACCUCAGAGCUGCCUUUGGAACAACCGUGUCUCAUGUGUCUGACAUUGUUGGACCGACUGGGUUGGUGUAUGCCAUUGAGUUAUCUCACCGGAGUGGUAGGGAUCUUGUCAACAUGGCCAAGAAGAGGACCAAUGUCAUCCCCAUCACUGAGGAUGCUAGGCACCCGACAAACUGCAUCUGGCGCAAAGCUCGGUUUCUUCUGCUGCUAAUUCAGCGCCGCAACUGCAGCUCAUUGGUUGCAUGGUCUUCGGUUUUGUCGUGCUGA
rnacentral:rRNA from 1 species